UCCACUAGAGGAUACAACCAAAACCACUUGGUCCAGGUAAGACGAGAUGUCUUCCACCAUAGUGGAGAGAGGAAGAUAAGCCUUAGCUGGUGGAUGAUGAUUUCGGGUGGAGAAAGAUGCCCUAAAGGGGGCGUUUGGUAUGGGAUGAUCCAUCUAGGAUCAAGAGUGAUAUGGGUAAAGUGAUAAGAUCACUGUAUUUGGU
rnacentral:lncRNA from 1 species